GUGGGGAAUCUUGCGCAAUGGGCGAAAGCCUGACGCAGCCAUGCCGCGUGAAUGAUGAAGGUCUUAGGAUUGUAAAAUUCUUUCACCGGGGACGAUAAUGACGGUACCCGGAGAAGAAGCCCCGGCUAACUUCGUGCCAGCAGCCGCGGUAAUACGAAGGGGGCUAGCGUUGCUCGGCAUUACUGGGCGUAAAGGGCGCGUAGGCGGACAGUUUAGUCAGAGGUGAAAGCCCAGGGCUCAACCUUGGAAUUGCCUUGGAUACUGGCUGUCUUGAGUACGGGAGAGGUGAGUGGAACUCCGAGUGUAGAGGUGAAAUUCGUAGAUAUUCGGAAGAACACCAGUGGCGAAGGCGACUCACUGGCCCGUUACUGACGCUGAGGCGCGAAAGCGUGGGGAGCAAACAGGAUUAGAUACCCCUGUAGUCC
rnacentral:rRNA from 1 species